CUUCUGCUGUAAUCAGUGAAUGUGAAUGCAGCGCUGACUGGUUGUUACACUUGACUGCAUUCCCUGCAACACACUCCACCAGUUGGCAGAAACAUUUGUACAGAAGCAUUGCAGAUGACACAACCCCACCAGGUGGCAAAAGCACUUGUACCUACCGAAGCAUUCUUCAAUAUGACUGAUGCUCAUUUGGUGGAAGGAUGAAUGGAUACUCAGAGACCGGGCUGCAUCACUACCCAGGCAGCCGCACACCACAUGUGAAAUACUUCUUCCUCGCAAGGCCUGAUGUUGUCGUGACGAUUGUGUACAUAGCUGAACCUGCAGUGACAGCAUAGUUGUAAGAAAAUUUUCUAAUCCUCAGCACUGUAGAUACACCAAAGAAUUAACAAUAGAAAAAAAACCAAAGAAUAAAGAACAGACUGAUGGAGUACAUACGUACCGAGAGCAGUCAGCGUCCUCUAUCAAUGGAGCAGUGAAGACUCUGCUAUCGUUUGUUUGAUUAGGAAGAACAAUUCCAUUCCUCCCGUGGACAAUGAAGACGUCUUUCCCGACCAUUCUGGUCUCG
rnacentral:lncRNA from 1 species